rnacentral:rRNA from 1 species
GACGAACGCUGGCGGCGUGCCUAAUACAUGCAAGUAGAACGCUGAAGAGAGGAGCUUGCUCUUCUUGGAUGAGUUGCGAACGGGUGAGUAACGCGUAGGUAACCUGCCUUGUAGCGGGGGAUAACUAUUGGAAACGAUAGCUAAUACCGCAUAACAAUGGAUGACACAUGUCAUUUAUUUGAAAGGGGCAAUUGCUCCACUACAAGAUGGACCUGCGUUGUAUUAGCUAGUAGGUGAGGUAAUGGCUCACCUAGGCGACGAUACAUAGCCGACCUGAGAGGGUGAUCGGCCACACUGGGACUGAGACACGGCCCAUACUCCUACGGGAGGCAGCAGUAGGGAAUCUUCGGCAAUGGGGGCAACCCUGACCGAGCAACGCCGCGUGAGUGAAGAAGGUUUUCGGAUCGUAAAGCUCUGUUGUAAGUCAAGAACGGGUGUGAGAGUGGAAAGUUCACACUGUGACGGUAGCUUACCAGAAAGGGACGGCUAACUACGUGCCAGCAGCCGCGGUAAUACGUAGGUCCCGAGCGUUGUCCGGAUUUAUUGGGCGUAAAGCGAGCGCAGGCGGUUUGAUAAGUCUGAAGUUAAAGGCUGUGGCUCAACCAUAGUUCGCUUUGGAAACUGUCAAACUUGAGUGCAGAAGGGGAGAGUGGAAUUCCAUGUGUAGCGGUGAAAUGCGUAGAUAUAUGGAGGAACACCGGUGGCGAAAGCGGCUCUCUGGUCUGCAACUGACGCUGAGGCUCGAAAGCGUGGGGAGCGAACAGGAUUAGAUACCCUGGUAGUCCACGCCGUAAACGAUGAGUGCUAGGUGUUGGAUCCUUUCCGGGAUUCAGUGCCGCAGCUAACGCAUUAAGCACUCCGCCUGGGGAGUACGACCGCAAGGUUGAAACUCAAAGGAAUUGACGGGGGCCCGCACAAGCGGUGGAGCAUGUGGUUUAAUUCGAAGCAACGCGAAGAACCUUACCAGGUCUUGACAUCCCGAUGCUAUUUCUAGAGAUAGAAAGUUACUUCGGUACAUCGGUGACAGGUGGUGCAUGGUUGUCGUCAGCUCGUGUCGUGAGAUGUUGGGUUAAGUCCCGCAACGAGCGCAACCCCUAUUGUUAGUUGCCAUCAUUCAGUUGGGCACUCUAGCGAGACUGCCGGUAAUAAACCGGAGGAAGGUGGGGAUGACGUCAAAUCAUCAUGCCCCUUAUGACCUGGGCUACACACGUGCUACAAUGGUUGGUACAACGAGUUGCGAGUCGGUGACGGCGAGCUAAUCUCUUAAAGCCAAUCUCAGUUCGGAUUGUAGGCUGCAACUCGCCUACAUGAAGUCGGAAUCGCUAGUAAUCGCGGAUCAGCACGCCGCGGUGAAUACGUUCCCGGGCCU